rnacentral:rRNA from 1 species
UAGAUACCCUGGUAGUCCACGCCGUAAACUAUGAGAGCUAGCCGUCGGGCAGUAUACUGUUCGGUGGCGCAGCAAACGCAUUAAGCUCUCCGCCUGGGGAGUACGGUCGCAAGAUUAAAACUCAAAGGAAUUGACGGGGACCCGCACAAGCGGUGGAUGAUGUGGAUUAAUUCGAUGCAACGCGAAAAACCUUACCUACCCUUGACAUCCCGAUCGCGGUUACCAGAGAUGGUUUCCUUCAGUUAGGCUG